CCACAGGUUUCAGGGUGUUAUACAUGGAAAGAAACUUUUGGGCAUGAAGUUUCUGUAAAACAAAAGAAUCAGCCAAGUGUACUGAGUGAUUUCCCUGCAGGAACAUAACCAACAUGCUAACAGGACUGAAGAUAUCGCCAGCUUUCAUCUUGUCUUCCUGAAGAUUUUGCUUAGAGGGAGCUCCUGUGGACUUUAUCUGAUACAUGCAACCAAACACAUGUGUCCGGGAAGUAUAGGAUCAUCAAGGUUGAAUUUGCUGAUCACAUGAUGUCGGAGGUGCUAGAGAAGACAGAGAGGAGGCAACAUUCCGUGUAUCAUUCUGGAUUGCUCCCCCCAUUUUACUAUACAGCAGACUGCAAGCUAAACAACACCAUCGUUUAAGAGGGAUAUAGACAAAAUGGAGCAUCUGCACAGAAGGGUAGUGAAGAUGAUGUGUGGCCUGGAGGCCAAGUCCUAUGAGGAAAGGCUUAAGGGCAUAGAGAAGGGAAAGGUGCACACACACAAUCAGGGAGUUGCUGCUGCAGUAUAUGAACCUGCUUAUGCUGUGUCAGCCCUUUGGCCCAUCCGGUACAGUACUAUUACAUCACAUUGGCAACAGCUUUCUGCCAAGAGUCCAGAGACAGGUGUUUCCUAGCCAUGCUAUAUCUGAAAUGCUUGAAUGAAGAUGCUACAAACUGAACAGGGAUCAUCCACAUUAAAGCAGCCCCUGAGGGACCAGCCUCCUAAUCCCAAGUGAGUUUCACCUUUUCAAUAUUUAUAGCAGGUGCCCUCCCUCUGCAGAAUGGUUUGCAGCCUCCCAGAAGUGAAGGGAGGACAAAGUCCUGGCUAAUUCUACCUCCAUCGGCUGUUCCACCUGCAAUGUCAGAAGCAGUAUGCCUCUGAAUACUAGUUGCCGGGAAUUGCAGGUGCGAGGAGUCCUGCUCCCCCCAGUGCUGCUUGCAGACUUCCCAAAGGCAAUUGGUUGGCCACUGUGACAAUAUCCUGGACUA